UACAGAGGUGCCAAGCGUUAGGCGGAAUCACUGGGCUUAAAGCGCGUGUAGGUGGGUCGUUAAGUGUCCGCGUGAAAUCCCACGGCUCAACCGUGGAACUGCCGGGCAUACUGGCGAUCUUGAGGCAUUCAGGGGCGAGCGGAACAAAUGGUGGAGCGGUGAAAUGCGUAGAUAUCAGGAGGAACACCCGUAGCGAAGGCGGCACUCUGGGCCGAUACUGACACUGAGGAGCGAAAGCGUGGGGAGCGAACAGG
rnacentral:rRNA from 1 species